AAUAAGUGUAGUUUUGCACCGUUCAUAUCUAAUGUGUGACCGUUCGUCUUAUUUGUUUUUUAUGAUUAAUAUUUUUAUUGUUAUUAGAUCUAAAACAUGAAUAGUACUUUAUGUGUGACUAUUUUUAAAAAAAAAUCAUAAUUUUUCAAAUAAGACGGACGGUCAAACGUUGGACACGGAUAUCCACGGCUACACUUAUU
rfam:Oryza glumipatula chromosome 1, whole genome shotgun sequence.